rnacentral:rRNA from 1 species
UAAGGUCAAGCUACAAAGGGCGCAUGGUGAAUGCCUUGGCACUAGGAGCCGAUGAAGGACGUGAUAAGCUGCGAUAAGCUUCGGGUAGGCGCAAAUAGCCUGUGAACCGAAGAUUUCCGAAUGAGGAAACUCUCAUGGGUAACCCCAUGAACUGUAUACUGAAUUCAUAGGUAUAUAGAGGUAAACCCGGGGAACUGAAACAUCUAAGUACCUGGAGGAAGAGAAAGAAAAAUCGAUUUCCUUAGUAGCGGCGAGCGAAACGGAAAGAGCCCAAACCGGAAACUUGUUUCCGGGGUUGCGGUCAGAUCAUUAAAGCUUUAUAUCUUAACCGAAGAUUUCUGGAAAGUUAAACCAUAGAAGGUAAUAGUCCUGUAGGUAAAAAGAGAAAAAAGCCCGAUCUGUACCAGAGUACCACGAGACACGUGAAACCUUGUGGGAAGCUGGGAGGACCACCUCCCAAGGCUAAAUACUACCUAGUGACCGAUAGUGAAGAAGUACCGUGAGGGAAAGGUGAAAAGAACCCCAGGAGGGGAGUGAAAUAGAACCUGAAACCGUGUGUCCACAACCGAUCAAAACACGUUAAUGUGUGAUGAUGUGCUUUUUGUAGAACGAGCCAGCGAGUUACGGUAUGCAGCAAGGUUAAGCACUUAAGGUGCGCAGCCGAAGGGAAACCAAGUCUGAAUAGGGCGUAUAGUUGCAUGCUGUAGACCCGAAACCGGGUGACCUAUCCAUGGCCAGGGUGAAGCGGAAGUAAAAUUCCGUGGAGGCCCGAACCACAAUGGUGUUGAAAAACCAUGGGAUGAGCUGUGGAUAGGGGAGAAAUUCCAAUCGAACUCGGAUAUAGCUGGUUCUCCUCGAAAUAGCUUUAGGGCUAGCGCCAUGAAUGAGUACCGGAGGUAGAGCACUGAAUGAGGUAGGGGCUGACAACAGUUACCGAACUUUAUCAAACUCCGAAUGCUGGAUACUUGAAUCAUGGUAGUCAGACUGCGAAUGAUAAGAUCCGUAGUCAAAAGGGAAACAGCCCAGAUCACCAGCUAAGGUCCCAAAGUAUAGAUUAAGUGGUAAAGGAUGUGGGAUUUCUAAGACAACUAGGAUGUUGGCUCAGAAGCAGCCAUACAUUAAAAGAGUGCGUAAUAGCUCACUAGUCAAGAGAUCCUGCGCCGAAAAUGUCCGGGGCUAAAAUCUAACACCGAAGCUGUGAACUUGUACUUCGUACAAGUGGUAGAGGAGCAUCCUGUAUGGGCUGAAGUCGUACCGAAAGGAGCGGUGGACUGUACAGGAGAGAGUAUGCUGGCAUAAGUAGCGAGAACUAAGUGAGAAUCUUAGUGGUCGAAAACCUAAGGUUUCCUGGGGAAGGUUCGUCCGCCCAGGGUAAGUCGGGACCUAAGCCGAGGCCGAAAGGCGUAGGUGAUGGACAAUCGGUUGAUAUUCCGAUACCGCAGAGUAACGUUAUGAGAAAUGGGAUGACGCAGGAGGAUAGGAUAUGCGUACGUUAUUGGAAGUACGUCUAA